rnacentral:rRNA from 1 species
GACAGAGGUGCCGAGCGUUAGGCGGAAUCACUGGGCUUAAAGCGUGUGUAGGCGGGUCGUUAAGUGCCUUGUGAAAUCCCACGGCUCAACCGUGGAACUGCUGGGCAUACUGCCGAUCUUGAGCCAGCUAGGGGCAACCGGAACAAACGGUGGAGCGGUGAAAUGCGUAGAUAUCGUUUGGAACGCCAAUGGUGAAAACAGGUUGCUGGGGCUGUGCUGACGCUGAGACACGAAAGCCAGGGGAGCGAACGGG